GAUCCUGGCUCAGAUUGAACGCUGGCGGAAUGCUUUACACAUGCAAGUCGAACGGUAGAGGGGGCAACCCCUUGAGAGUGGCGAACGGGUGAGUAAUAUAUCGGGAACGUGCCCAGUCGUGGGGGAUAACGUAGCGAAAGUUACGCUAAUACCGCAUACGAUCUACGGAUGAAAGCGGGGGACUCGCAAGAGCCUCGCGCGAUUGGAGCGGCCGAUAUCAGAUUUAGGGUAGUUGGGUGGGGGUAAAAGGCUCACCAAGCCAACGAUCUCGUAAGCUGGUCCUGAGAGGACGACCCAAGGCCACACUGGAACUGAGACACGGUCCAGACUCCUACGGGAGGCAGCAGUGGGGAAUUUUGGACAAUGGACGCAAGUCUGAUCCAGCCAUUCCGCGUGCAGGAUGAAGGCCCUCGGGUUGUAAACUGCUUUGUACGGAACGAAAAGGUUUCUAUUAAUACUAGGAGCUCAUGACGGUACCGUAAGAAUAAGCACCGGCUAACUACGUG
rnacentral:rRNA from 1 species